CGAUCCGACGAAGCUACUGUGCGCGACUGUCGUUGCUGCUGCGUGUGCACUUGACAACGCUGCUAUGCACGUCCGACGUCGCUGCUCGCUGCAUCUCACGACGCUGUUGCGCGCGUCCGACGACGCUGUUGCGCGUAGCCGACACCUUUGCUGCCUGUGCACUUAACGACGCUGUUGCGCGCAUCCGAUAGUGUAGUAUGGUAUCAUAUAGUACCGUGUUAUAGGGCUUGUAGCUCAGAGGAUUAGAGCACGUGGCUACGAACCACGGUGUUUGGGGUUCGAAUCCCUCCUCGCCCAC
rnacentral:tRNA from 1 species